rnacentral:rRNA from 1 species
AGUGAACGCUGGCGGUAGGCCUAACACAUGCGAGUCGAACGGCAGCACAGUAAGAGCUUGCUCUUACGGGUGGCGAGUGGCGGACGGGUGAGGAAUACAUCGGAAUCUACUUUUUCGUGGGGGAUAACGUAGGGAAACUUACGCUAAUACCGCAUACGACCUACGGGUGAAAGCAGGGGAUCUUCGGACCUUGCGCGAUUGAAUGAGCCGAUGUCGGAUUAGCUAGUUGGCGGGGUAAAGGCCCACCAAGGCGACGAUCCGUAGCUGGUCUGAGAGGAUGAAUAGCCAAACGGGAACCUAAGCACCGGCCAGGACUCGUAGGGAGGGAGCAGGGGGGAAAUUUGGCACAUUGGGCGAAAGCUUAUCCAAGCCAUCCGGGUUGGGGAAGAAGGCCUUCCGGUUGGUAAAGCCUUUUUUUGGGGAAGAAAAGCCGCAGGGUAAUACCCCGCUGUUCUGACGGUACCCAAAGAAUAAGCACCGGCUAACUUCGUG